rnacentral:rRNA from 1 species
AACGCUGGCGGCGUGCUUAACACAUGCAAGUCGAACGAUGAAGCCCAGCUUGCUGGGUGGAUUAGUGGCGAACGGGUGAGUAACACGUGAGUAACCUGCCCCCGACUCUGGGAUAAGCCCGGGAAACUGGGUCUAAUACCGGAUAUUACCUUUGACCGCAUGGUUGUUGGUGGAAAGAUUUAUCGGUGGGGGAUGGACUCGCGGCCUAUCAGCUUGUUGGUGAGGUAAUGGCUCACCAAGGCGACGACGGGUAGCCGGCCUGAGAGGGUGACCGGCCACACUGGGACUGAGACACGGCCCAGACUCCUACGGGAGGCAGCAGUGGGGAAUAUUGCACAAUGGGCGAAAGCCUGAUGCAGCGACGCCGCGUGAGGGAUGACGGCCUUCGGGUUGUAAACCUCUUUCAGUAGGGAAGAAGCGAAAGUGACGGUACCUGCAGAAGAAGCGCCGGCUAACUACGUGCCAGCAGCCGCGGUAAUACGUAGGGCGCAAGCGUUAUCCGGAUUUAUUGGGCGUAAAGAGCUCGUAGGCGGUUUGUCGCGUCUGCCGUGAAAGUCCGAGGCUCAACCUCGGAUCUGCGGUGGGUACGGGCAGACUAGA